AAGACAUUUUUUAAUACAUCUUUCAUUUGUUUCUUGUUAGACUUCCAUGAUACAUGGGCCAUCCUGGAUGCUCGAGUGAAAGAUGCUUUUGAUAUAAAGAAAACCAUUCAAGAGCUCCACCAAACAUUGCUGGGAAUCAUUCUGAGAGGGGGAUAU